rnacentral:rRNA from 1 species
UACGAAGGGGGCUAGCGUUGCUCGGAAUCACUGGGCGUAAAGGGUGCGUAGGCGGGUCUUUAAGUCAGGGGUGAAAUCCUGGAGCUCAACUCCAGAACUGCCUUUGAUACUGAGGAUCUUGAGUACGGGAGAGGUGAGUGGAACUGCGAGUGUAGAGGUGAAAUUCGUAGAUAUUCGCAAGAACACCAGUGGCGAAGGCGGCUCACUGGCCCCGUUACUGACGCUGAGGCACGAAAGCGUGGGGAGCAAACAGGG